rnacentral:lncRNA from 1 species
GUAAGGGAAUCUCCUCUCCUUCCCCCAACGGCAAGGACCCUUGGCUCUGGACCAUCAGCAGCUCCGAGAGGAAAAGGGGGAAUGGUGGCCCUGCACAGGAACACUUUCACUCUCCAAGUUCCCUCACAGCCCAUGGGAAAGCAUGACAGAGAGCUAACUAAAUUACUGCAGGAGUGUCUUCCUCAAGCUAACACUCCAGGAGAGCAGACAGCAAAGGCAGAGGAAGAAUGCCCCAGGAUCAUGCAGGAUUCCAAGUGUAAAGAGAAGCAGAAGCCAAUGGCACUGAAUCAACUGGAACUCCCAAUAGCAGAAUAUGAGAGUUGCCGUUUCUCUACAUCCUUGCCAACACCGACUAUUGGCAAUGGUGUAACUCUAGCCAUUACGGUGGGUAACAAAUGAUGUGGAACACCCUUUCAUACGCUUAUUGGACAUUUGGAUGUCCUCUUUUGUGAAGCACCAGUUCAAAUCAUUUGACUGUUUAAAAACUGCAUUGUC